rnacentral:rRNA from 1 species
AGAAUAAGCACCGGCUAAGUACGUGCCAGCAGCCGCGGUAAUACGUAGGGUGCAAGCGUUAAUCGGAAUUACUGGGCGUAAAGCGUGCGCAGGCGGUUCUGUAAGACAGAUGUGAAAUCCCCGGGCUCAACCUGGGAAUUGCAUUUGUGACUGCAGGACUAGAGUUCAUCAGAGGGGGGUGGAAUUCCAAGUGUAGCAGUGAAAUGCGUAGAUAUUUGGAAGAACACCAAUGGCGAAGGCAGCCCCCUGGGAUGC